CCUCCCCCAUCAAAAAACAAACCGCUCUCGGUCUCUAACUCUGAGUUGUAUUCUUAUAUUUAUUUCUUUGUUUGGCUGUUGGAGGUAUCGGAAAAUGCAUUAAUAUCCUAUCCUUGAAGGAACCCCAGUUUAUAUAUAUACAUUCAUUUCAAAAUGUAUAUACACUGUAAUAUUUGUGGAAUGACUAAAUAUUUCAUGUAAUUUGCAUGUGAAACAGGGAUCAAUAGAAAUGACUGGUUGUCCUAGAGAGCCACCUUGUAUAUUCCUUAGAUAAAGAAAAAGCAACAACUCGAUUAUAUAUUGUACAAUUGACUAAGUCUGUCCAUUAAAAUUUUAUGGUUCCUAUUGGAGACGUCAUUGAAAGGUUGGUCCACUUCUCUACAUGCUCAAGUUCAUGACUCAAGAAAUUAAUUUAUAAAACACAAUAGUCAACUGUUGACCCUUAAAUCAUAUACAUAUCUUGUCAAAUAUGAGAUUUGUUACCAAUAUUUGAUGCAUAAUUUGGAAAAUUUAGUGUUCAUUAAUUUCGUAUUGCAUAAAUGAAUGUCACUUUAUGUUUUAUUUCAGUACUAUAAAUAUUGCUGCCAUGACGAGGAAUGACAAUUUUUUUUAAUGAAUCUGCUUCUGAAGUUGCUUGCAGGGUCCUCUAAUCAAGAAAAUCCAAAGUGGAUGGGUGGUUUCUCCAGUUGUUGAGUAUUUUCACUUGCUACUCUAAAGAGAUAUUUUGUCGAAUCGGUAUUCUAGGAUAGGGGUCCCUAGAGUUUUUCGAACUCCUCAUUCGGGGUUGAGUGAGGCUUGGCAGGGCUAUACAUAGAUGAUUUGUGUAUUGGAUUGUGUCUCCCUUAUGGUAGUUAUUUAUGGUAGUUACUGUCUGAUAUUAUUGCAUGCUAUUUUAUUUAUGGNNN
rnacentral:lncRNA from 1 species